UACGGAGGGAGCUAGCGUUGUUCGGAAUUACUGGGCGUAAAGCGCACGUAGGCGGCUUUGUAAGUUAGGGGUGAAAGCCCGGGGCUCAACCCCGGAAUUGCCUUUAAGACUGCAUCGCUUGAAUCCGGGAGAGGUGAGUGGAAUUCCGAGUGUAGAGGUGAAAUUCGUAGAUAUUCGGAAGAACACCAGUGGCGAAGGCGGCUCACUGGACCGGUAUUGACGCUGAGGUGCGAAAGCGUGGGGAGCAAACAGG
rnacentral:rRNA from 1 species